rnacentral:rRNA from 1 species
UGCGAGUCGACGGUAACAGGAAGCAGCUUGCUGCUUUGCUGACGAGUGGCGGACGGGUGAGUAAUGUCUGGGAAACUGCCUGAUGGAGGGGGAUAACUACUGGAAACGGUAGCUAAUACCGCAUAACGUCGCAAGACCAAAGAGGGGGACCUUCGGGCCUCUUGCCAUCGGAUGUGCCCAGAUGGGAUUAGCUAGUAGGUGGGGUAACGGCUCACCUAGGCGACGAUCCCUAGCUGGUCUGAGAGGAUGACCAGCCACACUGGAACUGAGACACGGUCCAGACUCCUACGGGAGGCAGCAGUGGGGAAUAUUGCACAAUGGGCGCAAGCCUGAUGCAGCCAUGCCGCGUGUAUGAAGAAGGCCUUCGGG